rnacentral:rRNA from 1 species
UACGUAGGGUGCAAGCGUUGUCCGGAAUUAUUGGGCGUAAAGAGCUCGUAGGCGGUCCGUCACGUCGGCUGUGAAAACCCGGGGCUCAACCCCGGGCCUGCAGUCGAUACGGGCGGACUAGAGUUCGGCAGGGGAGACUGGAAUUCCUGGUGUAGCGGUGAAAUGCGCAGAUAUCAGGAGGAACACCGGUGGCGAAGGCGGGUCUCUGGGCCGAUACUGACGCUGAGGAGCGAAAGCGUGGGGAGCGAACAGG